UGCUACUGCGAUUCGGAGCGGAAGCUGGUGAAGUUGGCCUGUAAACCGUAAAACCCCUGACUUCUCUGUCCCCCGCUCUCCAAGAAAUCGAGCGUGGGUUCUAACUCCUCUCCCGAGCUCCUCGGAAUUCCGCCCAAAUUUCUCUUCCGACCGAGCCACGACGAAAUCGUCGAUCACUUCCUUUUGGCGAAAGUGCUGGGCCAUCCCCUCUCGGUGAACAUGAUCCAGGACGGACAUCUUUCUCCUUGACCCCGAUCAGCUCCCCGGUUUUCUUCCAUACAUUUUUCUUGGGCUUUUUUUUUUCCUCUUUCAUCGCUCUUCGUUUUUGAUCUUCUGGAAUGUGUAUUUUUGGAUGCUUUUCGGAUAUCAGUCGGAGAGUUUUGGGGUCGUUUAUGGGAAGCAGGGGGAUGAGGAAGGUAGAGACGAUGGUGUCGUACAGUGGGUAAUGGAAGGCCAAGGGCGCAGAGGAAGCUAUCGUGGAUGAGAAGAAUGAGGAGAUCAUUGGGUUUACUAGGAAGAUGGUCUUCUAUCGAGGAAAAGCACCCGAUACUGGAAACUGCGGGAAUAUCGCCUCAAUGCGGGUUCGAGCCGACUGAAAAAUCCCCAUGAUUCCAAGAUGGAUAGUUGUGUGGUAUGCAAAGUCGAGAUUGUUAAAGCUGAAGAAUUCUAAAGAAAUGCGAAUUAUCAAGACAAAUGAAGAAAGUGCUAAGUCUAUGGAGCAAAAGAGUACUUUGUGAAGGAAAAAAAAGAUUACCUUUUGGCAUAGGUUCUAUGUCUUAAUCAUACUUUUCUAUGAAAUUUUAGAGCAUGAGAAAUCAUGAUAUUAAUUAGUAGUUUGUUCGUCUUUGUGGGAUGUAAGAAGUAGUCUUUCUUAGGUGCAAAGAUAAGAAAUUCAUUUGGAAUGUUGAUAGGUCUUGAAGUUUCUCUUAAUCAAAUUUCUUGCAUAAGAUUGCAAGUUCCA